rnacentral:rRNA from 1 species
AGUGAACGCUGGCGGUAGGCCUAACACAUGCAAGUCGAACGGCAGCACAGUAAGAGCUUGCUCUUACGGGUGGCGAGUGGCGGACGGGUGAGGAAUACAUCGGAAUCUACUUUUUCGUGGGGGCUAACGUAGGGAAACUUACGCUAAUACCGCAUACGACCUACGGGUGAAAGCAGGGGAUCUUCGGACCUUGCGUGAUUGAAUGAGCCGAUGUCGGAUUAGCUAGUUGGCGGGGUAAAGGCCCACCAAGGCGACGAUCCGUAGCUGGUCUGAGAGGAUGAUCAGCCACACUGGAACUGAGACACGGUCCAGACUCCUACGGGAGGCAGCAGUGGGGAAUAUUGGACAAUGGGCGCAAGCCUGAUCCAGCCAUACCGCGUGGGUGAAGAAGGCCUUCGGGUUGUAAAGCCCUUUUGUUGGGAAAGAAAAGCAGCAGGUUAAUACCCCGCUGUUCUGACGGUACCCAAAGAAUAAGCACCGGCUAACUUCGUG